rnacentral:rRNA from 1 species
UACGGAGGGGGCUAGCGUUGUUCGGAAUUACUGGGCGUAAAGCGCGCGUAGGCGGACCUGCAAGUCGGGGGGUGAAAGCCCGAGGCUCAACCUCGGAACUGCCUUCGAUACUGCGGGUCUCGAGUCCGGGAGAGGUGAGUGGAAUUCCUAGUGUAGAGGUGAAAUUCGUAGAUAUUAGGAAGAACACCAGUGGCGAAGGCGGCUCAGCUGGCCCGGUACUGACGCGUGAGGCGACGAAGCGUGGGGAGCAAACAGG